UACGUAGGGUGCAAGCGUUGUCCGGAAUUAUUGGGCGUAAAGAGCUCGUAGGCGGUCUGUUGCGUCGGCUGUGAAAACCCGGGGCUCAACUGUGGGCUUGCAGCUGAUACGGGCAGGCUUGAGUUCGGUAGGGGAGACUGGAAUCCUGGUGUAGCGGUGAAAUGCGCAGAUAUCAGGAGGAACACCGGUGGCGAAGGCGGAUCUCUGGGCCGAUACUGACGCUGAGGAGCGAAAGCGUGGGGAGCGAACAGG
rnacentral:rRNA from 1 species